GAUGAACGCUGGCGGCGUGCCUAAUACAUGCAAGUCGAGCGAACAGACGAGGAGCUUGCUCCUCUGACGUUAGCGGCGGACGGGUGAGUAACACGUGGAUAACCUACCUAUAAGACUGGGAUAACUUCGGGAAACCGGAGCUAAUACCGGAUAAUAUAUUGAACCGCAUGGUUCAAUAGUGAAAGACGGUUUUGCUGUCACUUAUAGAUGGAUCCGCGCCGCAUUAGCUAGUUGGUAAGGUAACGGCUUACCAAGGCGACGAUGCGUAGCCGACCUGAGAGGGUGAUCGGCCACACUGGAACUGAGACACGGUCCAGACUCCUACGGGAGGCAGCAGUAGGGAAUCUUCCACAAUGAGCGAAAGCCUGACGGAGCAACGCCGCGUGAGUGAUGAAGGUCUUCGGAUCGUAAAACUCUGUUAUUAGGGAAGAACAAAUGUGUAAGUAACUAUGCACGUCUUGACGGUACCUAAUCAGAAAGCCACGGCUAACUACGUG
rnacentral:rRNA from 1 species